UGCGUAGGCGAGUUUCUAAGUCAGAGGUGAAAGCCUGGAGCUCAACUCCAGAACUGCCUUUGAUACUGGAAGUCUUGAGUAUGGCAGAGGUGAGUGGAACUGCGAGUGUAGAGGUGAAAUUCGUAGAUAUUCGCAAGAACACCAGUGGCGAAGGCGGCUCACUGGGCCAUUACUGACGCUGAGGCACGAAAGCGUGGGGGAGCAAACA
rnacentral:rRNA from 1 species